AUGACUGACUGUAAACAAAGAGGAAAACGUCAGAGAGAAAGACGGCAGAGCUGGAGAAGGUCUGAGCGGUGCAUGGCUGUCAGCCGUUUCUGGGUCGGCUCAAGGACACUAAUGUUGAGUUCCUGUGCUCGUGCAAAUGUGGGUAUUUUCCCUUCUGUUCUUCGACCUCCUUGCUGCAGUAUGAGCCCAGGAUGUGGUUUGUGCACCGUCAGGCUGUCUGUUCUCUCCAGCGAUUUGGCUGCUGACUGUGGUCCCUUCGACGGUGGCUUUACUGACAGACACCAGCCUUCUGAGCACACAGAAGCUGCACUUCACGAGACGACGGAGUGAAUGUUUCCUGCGGAACACUGUACAGAUAACCACGGAAAUCAUACUUAUUUCAUCUAAAUUAGUCACAUGAUGGCAAACCAUUUCCUUAUCUGCACUCUCUUUUUCUCUUUUUCUUUCUUUCUUUCUUUUUUUUGAGAUGGAGUUUCGCUCUUGUUACCCAGGCUGGAGUGCAAUGGUGCGAUCUCAGCUCACCGCAACCUCCGCCUCCUGAGUUCAGGGAAUUCUCCUGCCUCAGCCUCCCGAAUAGCUGGGAUUACAGGUGCACACCUCUGUGCCCAGCUAAUUUUCGUAUUUUCAGUAGAGAUGGGAUUUCACCGUGUUGGCAAGGCUGGUCUCGAACUCCUGGCCUCACGUGAUCCCCUCACCUCGGCCUCCCAGUGUGCUGGGAUUACAGGGAUGAGACACCGUGCCCAGCUUUGUUUGAUUUUUAAGAUCAAAUUGACACACAAUGAAAUGGCCAAAUCUUAAGUCUGUUGUUCCCUGAGUCUCGACAAAUGAACAGACCUCUGUAUCCUAAACCUCUGCCAAGACACAGAGCAUCCUCUUCGCUCCAGAACGCUUCCUCAAGCUCAUGUGCAGUCCAUUUUUGUCCCAGCCAGCCAGAGGUCAUCACUGUGCUCAUUUCUAUCUCCUGUUAGUUUUUCCUGUGCCAGAACUUCAUGUAAAUGGGAUC
rnacentral:lncRNA from 1 species